rnacentral:misc_RNA from 1 species
GAUGAAGAACGUAGCGAAAUGCGAUAAGAAAUGCGAAUUGCAGAAUUCCAGUGAGUCAUCGAAUCUUUGAACGCACAUUGCGCCCUUUGGUAUUCCGAAGGGCAUGCCUGUUCGAGCGUCAUUAUCACCCCUCAAGCCCUCGGCUUGGUGUUGGACGGUUUGGUGGAGGCCCCCUCGGGGGCUCCUGCCCCUCCCAAAGACAAUGACGGCGGCCUCGUUGGACCCCCGGUACACUGAGUUCUUCACGGGACACGUAUCGGACACAUGGGUUUACGGGACACGGUCUGCCUCCCCUCAGGGAGAAUCUUUCUAAGGUUGACCUCGGAUCAGGUAGGGAUACCCGCUGAACUUAAGCAUAUCAAUAAUCGGAGGA